UACGGAGGGUGCGAGCGUUACCCGGAUUUACUGGGCGUAAAGGGCGUGUAGGCGGUUUGUUAAGUCCGAUGUGAAAGACCGGGGCUCAACCCCGGGAACGCGUUGGAUACUGGCAGACUAGACGGCUGGAGGGGGUAGCGGAAUUUCCGGAGUAGCGGUGAAAUGCGCAGAUACCGGAAGGAACGCCAAUAGCGAAGGCAGCUACCUAGACAGCACGUGACGCUGAGGCGCGAAAGCAUGGGGAGCAAACCGGAUUAGAUACCCGGGUAGUCCAUGCCCUAAACGAUGAGUGCUGGGUGUCCGGCGUAUGCUGGGUGCCGAAGCUAACGCGUUAAGCACUCCGCCUGGGAAGUACGGUCGCAAGACUGAA
rnacentral:rRNA from 1 species